ACUUGGUGAUGUGGGCAUUUGCGCAAUUAGUCCCUAAAAUGCUCCCAUGUCUCAAAAAAUAGUUCCUCAUCCAAUUGUGAGAAACUAUUGAUUCCUCUCCUAGGCU